AUGCAGUGAUUUGGAUACAGCACAGUUAUACAAGACUUGCCUACAAGACAUCUGCAGGCGCUCCUAACGAAAGCGGCGCGAUGCAGUGAUUUGGAUACAGCACAGUUAUACAAGACUUGCCUACAAGACAUGUGCAGGCGCUCCUAAAGAAAGAUGUAAUUCAGAUCAUUAUAAAACAUUGUAAUUAAGCAGAAAUAAAAAAGCUCACGAUAAAAAUUUUA